rnacentral:rRNA from 1 species
UACGGAGGAUGCAAGCGUUAUCCGGAAUGAUUGGGCGUAAAGCGUCCGCAGGUGGCUGUGUAAGUCUGCUGUUAAAGAGUGAGGCUCAACCUCAUAAAGGCAGUGGAAACUACAUGGCUAGAGUGCGUUCGGGGCAGAGGGAAUUCCUGGUGUAGCGGUGGAAUGCGCAGAUAUCAGGAGGAACACCAAUAGCGAAGGCAGCUCGCUGGGACGUUACUGACACUGAGGCGCGAAAGCGUGGGGAGCGAACAGG